UCAGAUGCCCGGAUGUUCUCUGCUGGAACACACCUCGGGCAGGGCGCAGUCUGGACCCAACAGGCAGGGGAGUCGCGGAAACUGAUCUUGGGAAACUGACCUUGGAUUGACCCUCACAGUAAGCUCGGAGGAAUGUGCUGGGAGUUUCCCAUUACUUGCACCUGCUCAGGAGGAGUGCCCGAGCCUGGAGUCUUCAGUGCAGCGGGGCUGAGCCAGCAAGACAGACGUCAUAGGAAGGGCCGAGGGAGCUUCUCGAAUGAAAUUGGAGGGAGCCCUGACCCUGUCCGUUGCUAUCUCUGGUAGGAGAGCCCUCGCUGGGAAUUGACUCUCAGCCUGGGAAGCUUGACUCUCUAAUGGGGUGGGGGUAGGGGUGGGGACAGUCAUGGAGCCUCCCACCCUAUGCAGCUCUGCAAAUUCUUGCCUCCUGUGCUUACGUGACACAGCCCUUUCCAACCACGGUCACCCUGCCGACAGCCACAUCCUCCCUAAGAGAAGGGCUCCCUGACCCUGCUUAAGAUAUUAGUCAUAAGAACAGAGUAACUUUCAGAAAAUUCCAGAAGGGUGGUAAAACUGUGCUCAGGGGCUUGGAAAACAUGCUUUGCACAUAAACACGAGGAUGAAGAAUGUGCACCACGGCAGUCAGGAGCGCGCUCUCUGAUCCACUGGCUUUCCUUUCCCACUGGGGGUGCACACGGCCCUCCAGCCCAACUCAUCCUCAUAGAGGGCCGCACCCCUCCCCGAUUCUCUGGGCAGCCUUCCUCUGGCUCACAUCCAGGCCCACCUUCUUGGUGAAACCUUACAAGAUCGACUCUUUAAGACUGUUUGUUGCCUCCAACUUCAGAGUUCCUGCACAGUGGUAUGCUCGGGGAUUUAAUACAUCUGAAAGCCAAGAGCAACCUGAAUGAUCAACCUCUUAGCACUGCACCUUGUACACAAGAGACAGACCUAUGAGCAGCAUUUGGCCGGUCAUUUACGAUGAUGGAAUCUCAGCAGGAAACACCAUUUGUUUUCCUUCUUAUUAUUCUAAAGCUAGAAACUGAUGGGCCAUGCUGUUCUGGCCUGGAAGCCACAGACCUGGAGCAAUUUCCGACUCAGGACUCUUAGUAGCAUGGUAUGUUAGAAGCUGCCAAGGAGUGUUACGAGGCAGUGUGGUCUGUUGGACAGAGCACGCAUUGACCAUCUGGACGCCUUCUCUAUCGCAUGGGAUAUGCAUGGUCUCCUGUGCUGCCCAGUCCCAACAGAUAAGGCCACAAGCUGGUGGGGGAGGGGACACUGUGGGAAGCCAGCUCCUCCUAUGAUAUCCUUCUGGCGCCUGACCCAUCUGCCCAGCUACUGACCACUGCAACCAGCAUCAGGUUCGGUUAAAUACGGACCUUCAAAAAAUGACACCUGGGUCUUUUGAAAUGUGUGGGGAUAAUUAUGACUCACGUGCUUCAGAACAUUAAACGCCUGUCACUCGUA